UGGGGAAUUUUGGACAAUGGGGGCAACCCUGAUCCAGCCAUGCCGCGUGUGUGAAGAAGGCCUUCGGGUUGUAAAGCACUUUUGUCCGGAACGAAACGGUGGAGGCUAAUACCUUUCGCUAAUGACGGUACCGGAAGAAUAAGCACCGGCUAACUACGUGCCAGCAGCCGCGGUAAUACGUAGGGUGCAAGCGUUAAUCGGAAUUACUGGGCGUAAAGCGUGCGCAGGCGGUUUUGUAAGUCAGAUGUGAAAUCCCCGGGCUUAACCUGGGAACUGCAUUUGAAACUGCAAGGCUAGAGUGUGUCAGAGGGGGGUAGAAUUCCACGUGUAGCAGUGAAAUGCGUAGAGAUGUGGAGGAAUACCGAUGGCGAAGGCAGCCCCCUGGGAUAACACUGACGCUCAUGCACGAAAGCGUGGGGAGCAAAC
rnacentral:rRNA from 1 species